ACCCCAACAAUCGAAGACUUCAAC
rnacentral:siRNA from 1 species